CAGCUGCUGCUUCUUUCCAAACAAACAGCCAAGUUCAGGCUUGGAGGCGGUGUUAAAAGUCAGCUCUUCCACCUUCAGAAGCUUGGAUUUCUCCCCACUCAUUGCGGGUUUUGCCGUUUUUUUUUUUUUUUCUCCUGCAAAACUACGGUCACAGCACUUGGGCCACCCUCCGUGUCCACUACACACAAGGCAGCUUGAGGAGGGAGCCUCAAGAAUCAACCAGAAAUAAGAUUCUACAUGAAGAGACAUGAAGAGAUACUUGGCAAUUUAAAAAUGAAGCAUGGUUAAAGGUCAAGGGAUGGCUAUGCCAAUGGGAGGCUAAAGAUCUGCUAAACCGCAGUAGCCCUUUGGACAGCUGUGUGAGGAAACUACUCUCUCAAAUACCUGCAGCUCGAUGACCAGAAAGAAAAGACCAUAUGCUUGAACAAGAGCAAAGAGGAGAAUAUACAGCUUCUGAACCUUCAAUCUGCUGUCAUCGUCUUGAGCGUGAAUCCCAUUCUAGAUGCCACGGUAUAUAAACUACUAGCAAGUCUUCGCAUUCCAAGAAAAGCUAAGUAAAUUAUAACUUCUUAAAAAUGACUAGAUACCUUUUAUUUUUCCCCCAGAUUAUGUCAUACCUGGCACCAUCGGUGGUCAUGAACAUGAAGCAGAACAAACAGUUAAGACUAGCACAAUUCUUGGUAUUCUAUGUUUGUUUCCAGCUUCUAUUUCUUGAGACUGGCCAAGCCAAUGAAGAUUAUGUGUAUUUAUCCACCUUUGCUGAUUAUUGAUGCACUGGGCUUUUUGUCUUCUACCUUUUUCUACAGAGGAGAAAUGGGCUUAGAGGGGUAUAUCUUAAACCUAGAGUGGUAACUGCUACCAGUGUUUCAAAAAGCCUCACUCUUAGCCUCAUUCCCUAAGAGCAGUUCCAGGGAAUUGUGUGCUGGGAAGGCUUUAGCGUAUUAACCUUUGUGAUGUAUUACAUUAGAUGGGCCUUGGACAAAGGUCUGAAUAGAACAAAACCAAGGUUAAAUGGUACAGGGCCCUUUCUAAGUCAAAUAACUUCUAAGGAAUUUAUCAAAUAUAACUUCUGGAGUGUCACUGGAGAAGUGAAAAAUAAUACUAGAAGUCAUUGUAUUCCCUGCUCAAGAUUUAGGACAGUUACAUUACUUUAAAAUAUAUCUGUGUUCAUGGCUGUCAGAAGAAAUCCUAACAAAAUCCACACAUUUGCCACAUCCAUUACCACUGUAAAGAAUUGCUUUGAAAUGCUUGCUCUAACAGUUACACAGCUUCAGCUUCCUCACUGGAGCCUGGACAUUUCUAGUUUGGGGCUGAAAGUCUUCACCCAAGAGGCCAAGCUCUGGUGUGGCAUCUAUAGACUACAAAGUUCUCACUGGCAGUGAAAAAUAAUAACAGCCGAGGUGUAUGGAGUACUUCAGUCCAUCCUGCCUGGUGUGGGUAUGAUGUGUACUAUACAGUCACAAUUUAAUCCACUGAACAGGAAUGUAUGGCUGGUGAUAUUAUUUUCUCCAUCUUAUAGAUGAGAAAGCUAAGGAGAGAGAGGUGAAGAGUUUGCCUAACAUGACAUAGAUGGCAAGUAGAAGAACUGGGUUCAAACCCAGCUUGGUGCUGACUCUGGGAUGUCCCCACUGCACAGCCAUCCUCACAGAGAGUCAGGGUUCCAGAGAAGCAGGUGGAUCCAUUCUAUAUGUUUGACCACAGGCAUUCAAUAGUUCUAUUUUAAUUGUCUCUAAUACUUAUUUAACACCAAAAAGAAACACUUCUAAAAUACAUAAUAUAUAAAGGUAAUUUUUAUUAGACUGACUGCAAAUAGUCCCUAGUGUUUGGUAGACUGAAAUGGCCAAUAUUUUCACUCCAAAUUCUUUGAUUGGCCACAUCACCAACCCAAAAUCAACACUAGCAAAAGUCAGUCCCCUUAAGCUCCUGCCCUUCCUUCUCUAAAGUGCACAUUUUAAAGCAUCCUCCUUUCAAAUAAACCACCAACCUUUCAGGAACUCACAGCAAGGGUGUAUUCCUUCAUGGGAGGCAAAGGCAUGAGAAAAAAACAUUUGAUUAGGGGUUGGGCCCAGCUCCUUUAAGCAGAAGAUUGUGCAGCUUUGGCAACUGGUCAGAAGGCAAUGUUUUACAACUAUCACCCUUAGCACAGCUUCUAGAUUCUUGGAUGUUUUCUUCAUGCAUUGCAAUCAUUCUCUUUAAAAAAUAUACCGUAAUAAUGACACGAUCAUCUUGUUUUGUGCUUAGUAAUGAGACAGAUAAAAACCGUAGCUACUCAUGAGUGCAAAAGUGGAAAAGAAAAACGGCAAAUAGAAAAGACAAAUACAGAUAAGAAGAAUGGAACCUCUAAUGCUGAAACUGAGCACAAGGACCUUCAUACACUCCUGGCCAGCCCCUAUUGUUGGCAGACACUGUGCAGUGGAAUCAAAAGUAAGUGUGGUCCAGUUGCAUUUAUAGUCCCUGAGGCAGUUACGUGAAAGCAUGGAUACAAUGCAGUGUGAGACUCGCCAUGGAGGAGGGUAUGCACAGGACUAAAGGCAGAAAGAAUCAACUAAUGCUGCCUUGGGGAGAAGGAAAAGUUUCACAGAACAGGUGGUUCCUUAAGGAUCAGAAGAAGAGAUUCUCCAAGCUGACUGCAGGGAGUUGGCAGAGGGUUCUGUGGAUGCAGCAACAGAAAGGCUAGGGGACCAGACCAGUCCAGGGCAGGGGGGAUGUCUGGAGGGGACAGUGACAGUUUGAUGCCUCAUCCAGGAUGUUAAACCUGGCCUCUGUCUGGUAUUAGGUGAUGCUGGUGCUGUUACAAUUAGAAGAAGGCUUUGAAUGAACUUCUAAAUUGGGCCCAAGAAGAUCUGAAAAUGGGGAAACCAGAUGGGAGGUCACUGGCAUGUCCAAGGUGAGACUGUUGUGUCACCUCUGCUCCUUCCUGCCUCCUGCUGUGGGUCCAUGAACAAAUCCAAGGCUUGUACAUCUUGCAAAGAUACCUCUCCUCCCGCUUAUAAUUCCCCUAGUUUUUGUCCUUCUCUCUCCCCUUUUCCCUUCCCAGCUAAGCUUAUUGAAAACGUAAUCUAAGCUUCUUAUCUCUACUUCCUCCAACCCUCUUCCAUCAGCAACCCUCUGUAAAGUGGCCACCAUAUGGCCUGCUCUGAAACCACCCGAGACAAAUCUCUGACAAUCUAUUAAUUGUCAGAGCUGAUGGGCAUUUCCUAGGCCUUCCUAUCUGGCCCCUGCAGCCUUCUUAAAGCACUCUCCUCUCUUUAAAUGGCACCAUAGCCCCUUCGGCUCCUUUUCCUAAUCCCUCUGUCCACACCUAAAAUAUUUUGCAAAGCUCCCCCUUUCCCCACCAGCUCUAUAACCUUCUCAUGCUACACUCUCCUUUGACCAGAGCUUCUCAAACUUGAGUGAACAUCAAAAUCACCUGAGUAGUUCCUAAGCCCAGCCAUUCUGGUUCCAUAGAUCUGGCGUGGGGCCCAAGGAUUUGCAUUUAGAAAAACAAGUGCCAGUGAUUCUGCUGCUGCUGGCUUGGACCACAGUUUGAGAACUACAGUCGUAACUGGUCUUUUCUAUAUAGUGGUCUUAGCUAUAGCUGCCCUGGUGCUUUGCUACUGUGACCAUUCCCAAGACCUCAGACUCCAAUGGCCCUUUACCACAUCUCCAUUUCAGUAUCUCCCAGGCCUCAGAAAUUUAAUCUUCCCCAAAUAGAGUGAAUUAAAUCUUCUUUGCUCCUUUCUUUCUGCACCCCCAAAUCUGCUACCCCUCCUGUAUUUACUAUGUUGGAGAAAGAUACCCUACCCUCAACCCCCUACACCUUAGCCAACACAUGUUACAAACUCCCAGGAAUGACUGGCUUCAAAAUUCUCUGGUUCACAUUCUGUAUCCUGUGCCCACUGUCACUGCCAUGCCCAGGCCCUAACAGAACACCUGAUCUGCAGUUACACUGAUGUACCCAUUUCCUUUUGCCCAAAAGGUUAGUCUUUAAGGUUAGUUGCUCCCCUAGGACUCUGGGCUAGUACCCUUAUCACAUGCACAUACCAUGCAUACAAUCUGAGUCAGCUUAGGCUACUGUAAUAAACUAAACUACCCUAGACCAGGUGGCUUAUAUGACAAACUUUUGUUUCUCACAGUUGUAGAGACUGAAGGUCUAAGAUCAAGGUUUCUAGCAGAUUUGGUGUCUGGUGAGAACUGGUUUGCAGUAGAUACCCACACAGUGGAGAAAGGAAUAAUCUCUCUCAUGUGUCCUCACAUAAGGCCACUAAUCCCAUUCAGGAGGGCUCCACCCUCAAGUCCUAAUUAUCCUCUAAAGGCCCCACCUCCAAAUACAUCACAUUGGAGAUUAAGGGUUUAACAUAUAAAUGGGAGGGGAGGGUCACAUGCUCUGUUGAUAUUUUAUAAAUACCAUGUAUUUAAUUUUAUUAGCACAGGUGUUUAAUAACAUGCAAUGCACCCUAAAAGGAACAACGUUUUUGUUAUUUUGACCUGACUGACUUAAGAAUUUCCUGGGAAGAAAUGAACUGCUUCUGAAGGCGUAGUAUGGUUACAUCCUCUUCAGUUUCCCUGGCAAGGAACUGUACUUUGUACCCUUCUCUCUGAGUGAACUUGGUUGUGUUACUAACAAAUAUUUAUAGGUGCUUUUUAUUUCAGUAACAGAGAUGGUUUGCACUAGAUUUCUUUCAAAUAAGUUUGCAUUCAGAAAAUAAGCUAAAUAUUCUUCAGUCAGCCUGAGAAGUAGAGAUAGAUUUAUGGAGAUUUUGGACUCUAGUUCUGGCUUGGCUAUAUGCUGCCCAAACUCCAUGGAGUCAAGAUCUUUCCCUAUAAAAGGAAACACUUGGCUUUUCUAGGUUAUCUCACUAGGGCAGUUCUUAGUCAGUUAGUUUAGCAUAUUAACAUCCUUUCAAUCUAGUAUAAUAAAGUACCUUCAAGCAUGAGUUGAUAAAAGAAAAGGGCUUUCCCUCUGUACAACUGCAUGAAAAGUUAAGAAGCAACAGAAACGUGGAGCCAAAACAGAGACCCUUGUGUCUGAGAAACUGGACUUGGAUCCUUGAUCAAUGGAGAAGCUCAAACCACAGACUCUGUGGAAACAGUGGCCAAAGUUUCGGGUAUAAGAGUCACCUCCACAGACCGAACAGUUCACACAAGUGAAACUAAUGUGAAGAAUCUUGCAAUUUCUUAUACAUAUGUUUAGGCUAACAUUUUAGCAAUUCACAUUUUUGACACUGUGUCUUCUCUGAAUGCCUCUUAACUCUUUUGUCUCUAAUGUUUUAUGUCCCAUUGAAAACAUUAUAGUCUAAAGAACACCAGUAUCAAAACUAGUGAGUAUCAAAAUGCAUAUUUCCAGGCCCCAAACUAGACUUCUUGAACAUCAAAGGCCCCAGGUGAUUCUUUUGAAUAUUUAACCUAGAGAGCCACUGCUAACUAAAAAGGACUCACUCAGGUCCGGCUUAGAGGUGACAUACUGCAAUGCACAUGGACUUGAUCAACACCCAGAAGGUUACCCUUUGGUUCUUUAACCAGGCAUUAUCUUCACUUGCUUCUGCACGUUAUCAGUUACACAGAUACUGCCUUUAUUCGAAGUUGCAGGACUAACCAGUCUUCUAUUAUUUUUACAACCUAUUUACUUUGUGAUAUCAUCGUAAGGGAGUGUCUUUGCCAGGGUCUAAAAAUCAUAAUUAAAUUCACUGUUGCUAGCUGGGGUAGUAAGGAAGAAGAUUCAGUACCCCAGUAAGACCUUUUUGAUACAUCGCAUGCAAAUGAAGGACGCAAUUAAUUAAAUAUUUCAUCGAUGCUGUCCAAACUCAAAUGCCCCCUGUUGAACUCUCCCUUAGCUUGAUACCACAACCAUCAAAUACAAAGGCAUUGGAGGGAAAGGUCGCUGUAAUAUGCAAUACAAUAAAUAUAUCAAUUGAAGACCAACAUUAAAAGAGUUAUUUGCUAAUGGGCACCAUGCCAGGGUUACUCAGGCAGUGCUGCCUGCAGAAUUCCUAAGCUGAGUUCACAAGAUACAGAUCGAUGCACCUCCAAAGAGAGUCUAUAUCAAUCUCCAUUUCAUUCAUUAGCUCCCACUUCGAGCUGGUUGGCUGCUAGUUAACUCUUUAAUGUGGGAGAAACUGUCAGUGUAAAGGCCACUGGGACACGUGCUCUUCCCAGCUGUACUUGACCUGUCAAUAUUUCUUGCAGCAGAAUGUUUAAACUGGUACGGCUAAUGGCAAAAUGGAGACCUGUGGGGUUUGGAAGGCUUUCGUAGCUUUAGAAUGGCUUACCAUCCAAUAGCAAACAUUAGUAAAUUCAUCCCGUUGCUGUAUUUCUGCCUGUGCCUUUCUAUCCAGGUGCACAGAAACUGGGAUAAAAUUAUCUUCUGUAGUUCUGUUCUUGAACUCAACGGUAUUUUAGACUACACAUUAUGUAAAUGUGGGCUCCACUACAAUGAGAUACUAUCACACCAAGGACGUGGCAGCAGUGGAGAUCAUUAGUUUGUGAUUCAGCUCUAGAAGCUCCUAACAAUGCAGGAAGCAAAGCAGCACUUUCUAUAAAGUUAGGAUUCAUUUUCAAUUUGUACUGGUCCAGGGACAACCUUAUUGUUGCACAGUGGAGGAACCCGGAAGCUCAGGGGGACACCUGGUGCAUGAAAGAUUUCAAGCCCUUCUGAAAAUGUAAAUAAGAGCCUUAAAACAUAAAGGCAUAAUUACCAAAACAAAGAACAGUCUCAGACCACCAGGAAUAGCUGGCUUCGCUUAUUUUCUUUCUACAAAUAUUGAAUUUACUAAUUUCCCUUGCCUUCCUGUUGAAUAAAAUCAAUUUUCUCAGUAGAGCUGAUCUCUGCUUUGUUUGAGGUUAGAUGUGAAGUUGAUAUGCAUCCUUAGAUAUACUGUUUGGGAGAAAGCCUUGAAUAUUUAACCCUACGUCACAGCGAGCCCUCCCUUCACCGUCCUGUGGGCCGUCUAUUGAUUCAUUAUUUGACAAUCAGGAUUCUCCAUAGGUUAAUUGACAUGUUUGGAAUUCAUGGCAAGAAAAUCUGUGCAUUAUUUUAAAACUCCUGUCAAAUUGUUUGUAGAUACGGUUUGAUAACAACACCUGUUUUUUCCUCUCUUGGCCAAUACAAUCCACUGAGAAUCCUGGCUUAAAAAAUUUCCCUGCAGAAUUGUCAAACAUAUGUAUUUGUAUUUCAUUACUUGGUAAUAGCUGAUUUGCCAAGUUCAUUUACUACUAGUUGCUUCUCAAACAUCUCAGUGGGAUAAUUAAGGAAUACUAAGAACUGAAACUGUACCUAGUUAGGAGGGGGCUGGAGCCAUUGCCUAAAUCCCAGUCCUGAUUAAACUGCUGUCCAGAAUUAAAUAUUCACUAACUGAAAUGCUCUUUUCUUCCUUUACUCUGAGCAACUUAUCAUCAAGAAGAUGGAGCUACUCCCCAAGUCGUGCAAAAGAGACACCCCCCACUCCCCCGACCGCUGCCUCAAAUCAUCUGUACCAAUCAGAUCAAAAUCCUGCAGACUUUCAAGUGAAAAGUAUUUAAACUCAAAAUUGGUAAUGGUCUAAACGGUGCCUUUUCUCAGUGGAUAUAUACGUGGGCAGAGAAAAUAAAUAGUAACUCCAGGAGUCUGUCUUGGAAGGGAGUAAAGAAAGGCCAGACACAGUUCAAGGUUAUAGCUGAACACAACGGCAAUGAUGAGAAUUUGGACAGCUAAUACCCUCUCUUGAGAAAUUGUGAAUGUGAAGGAUUCUGGAAAAGAAUGUUGAAGUAUGAUAGCAUUUGAGUUUAAAUGCUCUCAAAGAAAUCUUGCUGGCUCAUUGCACAAAGAAAAGAGAGAUAUUUUAAUCAAGAGCUAUCUAUCAUCACUUGAAUUUGAAUGCCUGUUGUUUGAAGUCACAAGCUACUGACUCCCAUGAUGUAAGUUUUCAGGUCUAAUGCUGGAACAAAAAAGGUAUGAAACUGGGGGAGAAAAAAAAAAAACACAAAAAAAAGCCAAAUGGCUAUGGGCCCAACAGUGAGAAGAUAUUGUGUCUGAAAUGCUGUUUCUUUUACAUUGUGGACAAGGAAGAAGUAAGAAUAAUUGAAGGCUAAGUUUCUCAGACUCUUCCCUCCGGAGGAAAUGGGAAUAUAUGAGACACUAGAGAGGAUGUUUAAAAAUAAACUAUUGAGGAGAACAAACCUCAUAGAUAUAAGCAAAUGCAUUCAAUUCUUCAGUCCUAAGUUUUCCAAGUUCACGUACACAUUAUAGGGACCCCAAACAAAAUUCUGUUUAAAGUGCAGGCACCAAACUAGCAGAUAGCUGCACUCUCUUGUUAGAGUCUAAUGUGAAAGGGCAAUUUUGAUGAUAAUCCUCCUUUAUUUCUCAUUUCUUCUGCUUUGAUAUAUGUUCCUUUUAGACACACGCUGAUAGACUCAAGGGGACCCUUAAUAAUUCCUUAGAGGACUGCACAAUGUUUUCCAUCCACUGUACCUUGAAUGUUCACAGGGGAGGUAUUAUUGAUUUUUCCAAAAGUGAAAAAGUUACCUAACUUAAGACUGACAUGAUCUUGUUUUACCCUAUUUCGUUACAUGAGAAAAUUGUACAGAUUUUUACUCUCUCAAUGCCCAGGGGCUCAGGCUUAAGGAGGGGAAACAGUCUGGACUCUUCAAAUAAACUAAAAGUAAGACAGAAGAGCCGAGAGCUUCUCUUGUCACAUUUCUACAAUUUCCGGCUUUCAAGCCGCCACUUACAAGCCACUCCUUGACAUAAUCUUUGGGCUUAAGCAUGUGGAACAGUGGACCAACCAGCUUAAUAAAAAGACAAAGAUGAUAUGCAACUAAUGGACAGAGCAUCGCAACCAGGUGUUAACACAUCAUUCAUUGAACUAAAUGCUCUUUCAAACUCUGCAACAGAAACAAUUAAAGUACUGACGGCAGUCUUAAGUUGCUUCAAAUUGUCUGGCACAAUUGAUCCACAAUUAUCUUUUUACUCCCUGAAGCCCCUGAAUGUUACCUUCUUCAUUGACUUUAAAUUUCCUUCACAGUUCUCCAACCUGCGUUCUGGCAUACUGAAUAUCUGACAAACUGAAUAUCCAUUGGAGAAGGCUACUUUGAUAGAUCUCGGAAUCCUAAAUAUCCUAUUAAAAAUCUGAGCUGUGUGCCUCUUGAAUGCUUAUAACCAGCUCUUCAAAACAAACAAGAAAUCUUACUGAGCAUUUAAAGAUGAGUAAAACUUUAAGGCAAAAGAGAUAAACUUGUUUUCCAUUAGCUUCAUCACACAACUUGUUAGGGAAAUCCUCUGAUAUAUGGCAAGGAGGAAAAUUCUGUCUCUAAAGUUUGAACUUGAAAAUCACCCACAUCUAGUAUGAUCAAAGAAUUUUGUUCACUGUUUUUGCAUUCUUGGGCCAAGAAUUUGAUGGCCAGUACACUGUUGCUAAAACAUUUUUUUGAAUGUUCAUUUUACGUGGUUGUUUGGACAUCUCUUUGUUAAAUAGAAAAAAACUAUUAAGUGGCUGAUUCAUCAGAAUUGCUGUGAACAUCUUAUGAAACACAACCAGAUGUGCUUUGUUUCCAAGGUGUUGUGAAAAGGGAUUUGUUUUGGAACACAGGCAGAGAUGUGUUUAUUAACACUACCUUUUAUAAAUAAAUAUCUUUCUCAUAUUUUUUACUUUAAUUUCCCCCCUUUUUGUUGAUGUCUGGCAGGAAACUGUGCAAAGUUGAGAAAGUGGAAAACCUUCAAGAUGGAGAGAAUCCGGCUGCUUACCUUGAAUAAGGAUACUGUUGCCCUCAGAGUGACACAGUAAUUGAUCCCAAGUGAAAAGUCAUUUUUCCUGUCAGGCAAAAACUUACACUUGGGUAUAAGCAGUGGACUCAAGAUCACUGAUAUAAUUUAGUCAUGUGAGCAAGAGAGUCCAUGGGUUGUCUUUUUAUCUAAACUGUAAAUUGGAUUUUUUUCUCAAUUAGAUGCACCCUGAUAUAGAAAUGGUGAAGACUAUUUUAGAUGGAACCAAAAUUGCCAUGGUCCCUGGAU